rnacentral:rRNA from 1 species
GAUGAACGCUGGCGGCGUGCCUAAUACAUGCAAGUCGAGCGAACGGACGAGACGCUUGCUUCUCUGAUGUUAGCGGCGGGCGUGUGAGUAACACGUGUAUAACCUACCUAUAAGACGGGGAUAAUUUCGGGAAACGGGCUCUAAUACGGGAGAAUAUUCUGAACCGCAGUGUUCAAAAGUGAGAGACGGUCUUGGUGUCACUUCUAGCUGGAUCUGCGCUGCAUUAGCUGGUUGGUAAGGUAACGGCCUAUCAAGGCAAGGAUGCAUAGCCGAACUGAGAGGGUGAUAGGCCACAUGGGAACUGAGCCACGGUCCUGACGCCUGCGGGAGGCAGCAGUAGGCAAUCUUCCGCAGUGGGCGAGAACCUUACGGAGCAACGCCGCGUGAGUGAUGAAGGUCUUCGGAUCGUGAUACUGUGUUAUUAGGGAAGAACAUAUGUGGAAGUAACUGUGGACAGCUUGACGGUACCUAAUCAGAAAGCCACGGCUAACUACGUG